rnacentral:misc_RNA from 1 species
UUUGAAAAACAGGUGUUUAGUUUUAUAGUAGGAAAAAGAAUAGAGUUUUAAGAAAACAUAAAUAAAAGUAGUUUUUUUAAUAUAGUUUUUCUGUUUAGUUUUUUUAGUAUAGUUUUCCGGUUUUAGUUUUGAAAUACAUGUGUUUAGUUUUAUAGUAGGGAAAAAAAGAAUAGAGUUUUAAGAAAACAUAGAUAAAAGUAGUUUUUUUUAAUAUCGUUUUCAGUUUAGUUUUUAGUAUAGUUUUCGGAAAAUAUAAGAAUAAAGGAGUUUUUUUUAAUAUAGUUUUUCGAGUUUAGUUUUUAGUUUCGUGUUCAAAUCGUAUAAAGGUUCGGCUGUAGAAUAGAAAAAAUCAUCCCGCUGUUAAUUUAGUUUACAAACGACAUAAAUUUUUCUGAAGUUUAAAAUGUUGCUUUUGUUAUUUUAUUUUUACGACUUGCAUGUUUUUCAGAUUUCCCUUCUAAAAAGGUAAGUUUUUUUUUUAAGAUGUAUAGGAUUUUUUAUGAACUGAUUUUCUAAAAAUUUUUUUGAAGUUUAAAAUGUUUCUUUUGUUAUUUUAUUUUUACGAGUCGCAUGUUUUUCAGAUUUCCAUGCCGAGGGUUAAUUUUUUUUCGAUAGACUUUUUCUAAAUGUUCCUGCUGUUUAUUAUCUAAUUUUACGAGCGACUUGCGGCCGGUAUUUUCAGAUUUUUGUACGUGGAAAAGAGUCAUAAAAACAGUGGGUUAUUUUUUUGUAUUUAAGUAAGUUUUACCGACAAAUUUCUAAAAAUUUUAAGAUACACCUGUUAUUUUUUUUUUUGCUUUUUUUUCUGAUUGUCUAUUGGUAAAAUAUUUAUCUUAGCAAAAAUGGACCUAUUAGAAAAGAUAAGUAUUUAUGGUGGUGAGAAAAUGGGCCUGACUAAAAUUAUUUCGACUAUCAUCCCUGAAAAUUUUCACGACAAGUGUCAGUUGUGUUUUCCGGGUGUACUCAGUCACAUCUUCACUAAUAAAACAAAAAAUGAAACGCGGACUUGAAACUAACGAAGUUGACUUUAGUUGUAAAAAAAAAAAAGUAGAAGAUAGCAGAGAAAAAAAAAUGGGUACAUGCAAUAUAUAAAUACCCUGAACUGUUAACUGAACUAAAAAAUUUGAAGUGCAGUGUAAUUAUCCGCCACAAUUGGGUCUCGGGAUUUUUCAAAGAUUUCCCUAAAAAAGAUAGAGAGCUUGAGGAGUUUAUUCGUGAUAAAUUACUCGGCAAUCCGACAGAUAUACGAGACAUAAAAAAAUAUCCGGAAUCCGGAAUUAGAAAUACAGUAUGAAAAUAUCAAACAAAGAGUUCACAAUAGAUGUGAAACAAGUGAAAAAGUUCUACACAGUGUGAAGAUGUGGUCAAGGAUUUUGAAAAACCUGACAAUGAUGAUAUCAUGUUUUUAGACAUUGAAAUACCGACUGACGAUGUUAUGAUAAACGAUGAAAUUCCCGUUAAUGAGACUGUACGGGAAAAUGAUAAUAAUAAAACACCUGUAGAUGGUCCAGUGACCGAAAAUGAAAUACCGGCUGACGAAGUUGUGGUAAAUAAUAAAAUUCCAGUUGAUGGCCCAGUGGCCGAAAAUGAAAUACCCGUAGAUGUUGAAAAAAUGACAGGACUAACACAGUCCAAGAAUAUGAAACAGCUGCGGAAAUGUUUGCAAAUGCAAAAUUCAGCGAUGACGUUAUAGGUAUUGAUGAGGAGUUGGCUGAGGUUUUAGAAGACCUAGUAAAAGAGGGUCUUGGAGAAAGAAUAUAUUCAGAAAAUAAAAGACCAAGCAUCAGAUCUGAAGAAAUAUUACGUGAUAGACAUUAUUCCAUAAUUACUGGAAAAAAGAAAUUAUCGAAAUCGCACAAUCAAAAAAAACACAGUAAAGAUAUCAAUAGUGAAAAACAGGUGCCAGUAUUACCCUCUACAAUGCAUAUGUUUGGGGAAUACGGUAAAAAAAUAAUUGCGGUAAAUGAAGAAAUGACGUGGUUAUAUUGAGCCAAUUGUCAACGUCUUCGUCAUCAUCAUCGUCAUCGGGGUCAUCAUCGUCAUCGUCUUCGUCUUCAGACCCUCCCACUAUUAUAAACGAGAAUAAUGUUGCUGAAAAAUAUGACGAAGAACAUCAAUAUCGACCUGAAGCAGGGCCUCCAAAGCCCCGUGUCGAGAAACAAAAAAAUGAGUCUGUAGAUAUUACAGAUUUCUGCGUUGACUGCGCGGGAUAUCAAUGUCCGAAUAAAGCAGCCACACCACACCACCAGUUCUGUAAAGACUGUCAUGAAAAAUGGCAGAUGGGUGAGCAGCCGCAGUACCCACAACCCUUACCUACAGAAAUACCCAAUGCAAUUUUCGAAAAACGAGAGCAUUUUAUAUAAAUCAAAGAAUAACAUGUUAACAGAAUGAAAUACGUGACCUCACAGAAACAUUGAGUAACGUAAAAUGCGAUCUCAAGGGAAAAUAAUUCAUUCUGGUAGAGGGCGUGAGCGUAGAGUAGGCCCCUAUCUGGUCGAUGGCAUUUCAGAAGAUGGAAAAACCAUAUACUCUUUUUGAAGUUGUUACUAUCAUGGUUGUGAUUGUUUUGAAUUGAUUAAAGAUGUGGACGCGGAUUUAGGGGAUAAUACAACACUUAGAACGAGGCGUGAGAAUACAGAGUACAUAAAUGCAUAUUUUAAAAAAGAAGGUUAUAAAUUGAUUAUUAUUUGGGAACGUGAUUUUAAGAGAAUGUGUCAAAACAACAUAGAUUUAAAGAAUUUCUUGAAAACAAUUGAUAAUAAUUUUUAUAAAGAAGCAAUAUUGCCUCGUGAUGCUUUAUUUGGUGGGUGAACUGAAAAUUUUUGUGUUUCACAUACUGUUACUGGUUCUCAAAAGAUAUACUACGUGGACGUCACGUCACUAUAUCCGAGUACGUUAAAAUAAAAUAUUUACCCUCUCGGCCGCCCCAAAGUUUUUGUUCUGGAUGAUAUACGUGAGCUUUGUCCCGAUAAUAACAUAAGUAAUGUGAUAGGAUUAAUUAAAUGUCGAGUUUUGCCACCGGCCAAUUUAUAUAUAUCAGUAUUGCCGAUGAGGUGUCAUAAAAAAUUAUUUUUUCCACUUUGUAACGCAUGUACAUUAACUUUAAAUCAAGAAAAUUGUACUCAUAAUGAAUCAGAACGAGCACUUAUUGGUACUUACGUAUCUCAGGAGUUGAAAGUAGCAGUUGAGAAAGGGUAUAAAAUUUUACAAAUAAAAGAAAUAUGGCAUUGGGAUAAAACAACUCAAUAUGACCCGAAAAGUAGAAAUGGCGGUCUAUUUACAGGUUAUAUAAUAAAUUUUUAAAAAUAAAAUAAGAAGCUAGUGGAUGGCCUGUAGAGUGCGUUGAUGACGCAUCAAAACAAGCAUACAUAGAUAACUAUAAUAAAGUAGAGGGAAUUGCUUUAGAUCCUACGAAAAUUGAAAAAAUCCUGGUUUACGUCAAGUUAGUAAAAAUAACUUAAAUUCACUUUGGGGUAGGCUAGCUAUGGAUAAUAUUUCGGAUAUGUACAGUAUUAUUCAUAAUAUUCAAGAUUUUAAUAAAAUUAUUGAAAAUGCCAAUAUUAAAGUUUCUUGCAAAACUAUUAUCGAUGAUGAUACACUAUUUGUCAAUUGGAAAUAUGUUGAAAGUUGUGAUAGAACUGAUAGCUCAACUAAUCCAGUUCUAGGUGCAUUCACGACUGCUAUUGUAUGUUGAUACUGACUCUAUAGUUUUUAUUUCUGAGAAUGAAAAUAAUAAGGUAAUUAUUUAGGUGAUCUCACUGAAAGUUGUGAUAGAACUGAUAGCUCAACUAAUCCAGUUCUAGGUGCAUUCACGACUGCUAUUGUAUGUUGAUACUGACUCUAUAGUUUUUAUUUCUGAGAAUGAAAAUAAUUAGGUAAUUAUUUAGGUGAUCUCACUGAUGAGCUUGAUGGUGGUUACAUAAAAACUUUUAUUUCUGGGGGCCCUAAAUUUUAUAGUUAUAUUGCUGAAAAACCUGUUGGUACAAUAAGUAAAGAAUGUAAAUUAAAAGGUGUACGACUUCUUAAAUGCUCAAAAAUUAUGAUAGUAUUAAGACUUUAACUGAUGGUGAAAACGACAAAAUUAUUGUAACUUGUGACUCAAUACAUCGAACUAAAGAACAUGAUGUACAUACAAUAACAGAAUCGAAAAUUGUACGUGUUACCGAUUCGAAACGGAAAAUUACAGCUAACAUAAAUAAUACAUUACCGUAUGGUUAUAU